rnacentral:lncRNA from 1 species
UGACAUAAAUGACCACUUUAUUCACUAGUAUGAUAUGUGUGGAUCUUACUCCCUCUUAUUUAGUAGCCAGAAUGGAAAAUUUAUUUUUGAAAUAUGUUUUUUCUUAUUUUUUAGGGAUAUUUCUUUUCUGUAUGAUGUUAAAUACGUAAAAGAAGAGACUAGAGAGAAUGCAAUUUGUCCCCCACAUUCGGACCAUGCAUUACAAUCCAAAGAUGAUCAUGAGAAACAUGAUGGUGUCCUCAUGCCUCAGAAGUUGCACCAGCUAUUACAUACGUUAGAGAAGGAGCAGAGCAUCUACAACACAGUAUUUCAUGAACUUACUCGACAAGUCAGUGUGGAUGUGCAGAUAGAAAAGAGCUACUGUCCAAAAUCAGGUUAGAGCUAUUGUUAGUCUUUUAUUUGUUUCUUUUUUUUUGGUAGUACUUAGGACUGAACCCUGGAAUUAUAGAUGUGUACCACCAUGUGGGCUCCUUUUUAUUUUUUAUUUUGAAACAGAGUCUCCCUAAGUUG